rnacentral:rRNA from 1 species
GACGAACGCUGGCGGCGUGCCUAAUACAUGCAAGUAGAACGCUGAAGGAGGAGCUUGCUUCUCUGGAUGAGUUGCGAACGGGUGAGUAACGCGUAGGUAACCUGCCUGGUAGCGGGGGAUAACUAUUGGAAACGAUAGCUAAUACCGCAUAAGAGUGAAUGUUGCAUGACAUUUGCUUAAAAGGUGCACUUGCAUCACUACCAGAUGGACCUGCGUUGUAUUAGCUAGUUGGUGGGGUAAGGGCUCACCAAGGCGACGAUACAUAGCCGACCUGGGAGGGUGAUCGGCCACACUGGGACUGAGACACGGCCCAGACUCCUACGGGAGGCAGCAGUAGGGAAUCUUCGGCAAUGGACGGAAGUCUGACCGAGCAACGCCGCGUGAGUGAAGAAGGUUUUCGGAUCGUAAAGCUCUGUUGUAAGAGAAGAACGAGUGUGAGAGUGGAAAGUUCACACUGUGACGGUAUCUUACCAGAAAGGGACGGCUAACUACGUGCCAGCAGCCGCGGUAAUACGUAGGUCCCGAGCGUUGUCCGGAUUUAUUGGGCGUAAAGCGAGCGCAGGCGGUUAGAUAAGUCUGAAGUUAAAGGCUGUGGCUUAACCAUAGUAGGCUUUGGAAACUGUUUAACCUGAGUGCAAGAGGGGAGAGUGGAAUUCCAUGUGUAGCGGUGAAAUGCGUAGAUAUAUGGAGGAACACCGGUGGCGAAAGCGGCUCUCUGGCUUGUAACUGACGCUGAGGCUCGAAAGCGUGGGGAGCAAACAGG